CAGUCGUACUGUGAAAAUAUUGUGAAAAACCUAAUAUAAAUAUAAUAAUAGUAUUAUAAUUAUAUAGUGAAGUGAUUUUUUAAUAAAAAGCAGUUGUAAACAAACCGCUGCAACUUAACUAAAACUUUUCGUAAUAUAUAUAAUGAAAUAAACGGUGUUGUAGUAAAUUUCAAUAUACACUCUUCUACUUAACCUCAAACAGCAUGUAUGUAUGAGGAACUCCAUGAGACACCACAUCUAGUAUAAGAUGCAUCACUAGUUGGGAAACCAGGAAAUACUUUGCCGGAAAAGUUAAUAGUUGCUUGAAUAAAACUAAUAUUUACUCUAACGACUGGUAGUAAUAAGUAGAGUUUGUAAAAAUGUCGACUGCAGCGCUUGUUCAGCAAUUCGUUGCUGGUCUCAAGUCGCGUAAUCGCAAUGUGCAAAACAAAGCAGCACAAGAUUUAUUCAUGUACGUAAAAACGGAACUGCGUGAAAUGUCCCAGGAGGAUUUGGUAGCCUUCUUCGAUGAUUUCAACCAUCAAAUUUUCAGCAUGGUGAAUUCUGCCGAUAUAAAUGACAAAAAAGGCGCUGUACUGGCCAUAAAGUGUUUAAUCAGUGGCGAUGUAGUAAAUACAAUGAAGCGUAUUUCACCUUACUACAAUCAUUUGCGUACGCUGUUGCCUUCAAACGACACCACUGUAAUGGAAAUUGCGGCGCGUACAUUGGUCAAACUGGCCAACUUGCCGGGAUCGAAAGGCGCUGAAUCUAUUGAUUUUGAUAUAAAGCGUGCAUUCGAGAUGUUAAGCGGUGAUCGACAAGAGUAUCGCCGUCAUGCUGCAGUUUUUAUACUACGUGAACUCGCUAUAGCCAUGCCAACAUAUUUUUAUCAACAAAUUUCCACAUUUUUUGAUAAUAUUUUUAACGCAAUAUUCGAUCCGAAAGCAGCUAUUCGUGAAUCGGCCGGCGAAGCUUUACGUGCCGCACUUAUUGUAACUUCACAACGUGAAAGUACCAAACAAUCAACUGAGCCACAAUGGUAUAAAACUUGCUAUCAAGAGGCGAGCGCUAGUUUUGUAGCCGAACCGACUGGCACAAAAGAUCAAAAAGGCAUGACACGUGAUGAUUGCAUUCAUGGCGGCCUGAUAAUUUUGAAUGAACUCUUCCGUUGUUCACAUGCCGCUUGGGAGCGUCGUUAUGCAACAUUGAAGUCGCUUCUGCCCGAUGCACAGCAUAAUAAAUUUGGCGAAGUUAUACACUCCGGCUCAGUUGGCAGUCAACUAACCACCUUAGUGCCUCGCUUGAAAGCACCUUUUAUAAGUAAGCUAGGUUCCACACACAUGCAUUUGGAUCACGAUGCACAACACGGCGGUACACAUAAAUUUUCAUCGGCUACCGUGCUGGAGUCUGCAUAUUCACGUGAGAUACUCACAGAAAAUUACAUAAACAUUUGCGAUAAUGUGCUGGAACAGCGCACUUCGAAGUCACCCUAUGUGCAGCAAGCGCUCUUACAUAUACUACCACGGCUCGCGGCCUUCAAUCGCGAAGUAUUCGUACAGCGUUAUUUGCAGGAAUGCGUUAGUCACUUACUCAGCAUUGUGCCACGUAAAGAAAAGGAUCGCAACAUUGCUUACGUAACUAUUGGUUAUAUAGCCGUAGCCGUGGAGCGAGACAUUGACAAGCAUUUACGAACAAUUAUGUGCGCCAUCAAAAUAGCUUUACCGCCAAAAAUUACGCCAAGCAAGCGUAAGGCAGCCAUUGACCCAGCAAUUUUCCACUGUAUAACAUUGCUAGCGCACGCCGUCAAAUCCGGCAUCACAGAGGAUGUGCGUAAUAUAUUAGAGCAGAUGUUUUUCAGUGGUCUCUCGCCCGCUUUAACCGUUUGCUUACGUGAACUCGCCGAAAAUGUACCACAUUUAAAGUCGGCCAUUGCUGAAGGGCUCAUACGUGUGCUCUCGCAAGUACUUAUGAACAAACCACUGGCCAUACCCUAUCAAACACUGGCCACCAUACCAUUAGAUCCAUCGAUUAAUCUGCAACAUGAUGUACCCACUGUAGUGUUGGCACUCAAAACGCUCGGCAGUUUCAAUUUCGAAGAACAAAACAUGUUAGAUUUUGUACAACGUUGCGCCGAUCAUUUCAUUAAUCACGAUCAGCAGGAGAUACGUUUAGAGGCUGUACAGACGUGUACACGUCUAUUAAAACUCGCCGUGCAGUCAGCUGAUAGCACAGAGAGUUCAAAUACACUGAGCGAAACAGUGUCGCAUGUCAUCGAAAGACUGCUAAUUGUCGCCAUCACUGAUAUGGACUGCAAUGUGCGCAUACGCAUACUGCGUUCGUUGGAUGAAACCUUCGAUGCUGAGUUGGCGCAACCCGAAUCGCUUAGUGCACUAUUUAUAACAUUAAAUGAUGAAAUUUUCGAAAUACGCGAACUGGCUAUGGUGACCGUAGGGCGGCUGUCUGCCAUGAAUCCAGCCUAUGUUAUGCCUAAGUUGCGUAAAAUUAUGAUACAACUUUUGACCGAAUUGGAGCACUCUGGUAUGAGUCGAAAUAAGGAACAGAGCGCCAGGAUGUUGGAUCACUUGAUAAUCAGUACACCUAGAUUGAUUUCAUCUUACAUGCAUCCCAUACUCACCAUACUUGUGCCGAAGUUACGUGAAGCCGAUCCCAACCCAGGCGUUAUAUUGAAUGUCUUGCGUGCAAUCGGCGACUUAGCCGAAGUGAAUGGCGGUUCUAACGAAAUGGAAAUGUGGGCCGACGAUUUAUUGUCAAUUCUUCUAGAAAUGCUGGGCGACGCUGGUAGUCCGGAGAAACGUGGCGUGGCACUUUGGACACUCGGCCAACUGAUAAGCGCCACUGGUCGUGUAGUCACACCCUAUCACAAGUAUCCCGGUCUGAUUGACAUACUUAUAAAUUUUUUGAAAACCGAACAACGCCGCUCCAUACGUCGUGAAACCAUACGCGUACUCGGUUUAUUGGGCGCAAUGGAUCCGUAUAAGCAUAAAAUGAAUAAAGGUCUAAUUGAUAGUCAAAAGGAUAGUGUGCUUAUUUCGUUGAGUGAUUUCAAAAUGGAUGAGAAUCAAGACAUUUCCACGGCCGAAUUACUUGUGAACAUGAGUAAUGUACUCGACGAAUACUAUCCAGCCGUUGCGAUUGCCGCGCUGAUGCGCAUAUUGCGCGAUCCCACACUCAGCAGUCGUCACACCAGCGUCGUACAGGCCAUUACUUUCAUAUUCAAGAGUCUCGGUAUUAAGUGUGUGCCCUAUUUGGCACAAGUGUUGCCCAGUUUACUGGAGAAUGUACGUACGGCCGAUAUCAAUUUGCGUGAAUUCCUCUUCCAGCAAUUGGCCAUAUUGGUGCAGAUUGUUAAGCAGCACAUCAUCAGCUAUAUGAGUGACAUUUUUAAGCUCAUUAAAGAGUUCUGGACGGUCUAUACGACGCUACAGUUGACGCUGAUUAACUUGAUUGAGCAAAUCGCCUUGGCUUUGGGCUGUGAAUUUCGCAAUUACCUAUCAGAAUUGAUACCGCAAAUUUUGCGUGUGCUGCAGCACGACACCUCCAAAGACCGCGCGGUAACCAAGCGUCUGCUGCAGGCUUUGCAAAAGUUCGGCAAUACUUUGGAUGAUUAUCUGCAUUUGAUUGUGCCGCCAAUUGUGAAGCUCUUUGAUGCGCCAUACGUGCCGCAACAAGUCUCGCUGGUGGCUUUAGAAACCAUCGAUCAUCUCGCAUGGAUACUUGACUUUACAGACUUCUCAUCACGUAUCAUACAUCCGCUGGUGCGCGUACUGGAGGCCGAACCUGAGCUACGCGAACAAGCCAUGUCGACACUUUGCUCAGUGGUCAUACAAUUGGGUAAAAAGUAUCUGGUAUUUGUGCCACUGGUCGAACGCACCAUUACUAAGCAUCGCAUUGUCGACUCGAAAUAUGAAAAACUAUUGACGAAAAUACAAAGUAACACCACUAUGUGCCUAGACGAUGAGUUCCAUAUGCGACAGACCAAAUUUAAAUCCACCGAAUUAGUUGCGCCCAACAGCGGCGGCAAUUUCGCUAUGAAACGACUCAUCGUUUCCACAAGUAAUUUACGCGCUGCCUGGCAGGUGACACGUCGUGUCUCCAAAGAUGAUUGGGUCGAAUGGCUGAAACGUCUAUCAAUCGGUUUAUUGAAGGAAUCACGUUCGCAGGCUUUGCGCGCCUGUCACGUGCUUGCUCAAGAUUAUGAUAAACUACUACGUGAUCUAUUCAAUGCGGCUUUCAUCUCAUGUUGGACUGAACUCCUGCAGGAGCAUAAGAACGAACUCACACAAUCGCUUAUACAAGCAUUGCAAGUGACUGAUAUGCCGGAAAUCACACAAACCAUUUUGAAUUUGGCCGAAUUUAUGGAGCACUGUGACACGGACCCAAUACCAAUAGAGACCAAACUGCUGGGUACACGUGCUAUGGCGUGCCGCGCAUACGCUAAGGCUUUACGUUACAAAGAAGAAGAAUUCCAAACGCAUAAGGAUCCUCAGGUGCUCGAGUCAUUGAUCCUCAUCAACAAUAAGCUACAACAGAAGGAAGCCGCUGAGGGCCUACUAACCACCUAUCGCAACGCCAGCAAUGAGUUCAAAGUACAAGGACGUUGGUAUGAGAAAUUGCACAACUGGGAGCAAGCACUGAAACACUAUUCCGGCAACCUAAAGGAUAACAGUAAUGAUCUGGAGGCACGUUUGGGACACAUGCGUUGCUUAGAGGCAUUAGGCGAGUGGUCUGAGCUCAGCUCUGUGGCCAAACAAGAGUGGGACAAUCUGGGUCGUGACGCAAGAUCACGUGCUGGACCCUUGGCGGCAGUUGCUGCUUGGGGUCUGCAAGAUUGGGAGGCGAUGCAGGAAUAUGUGCGCUGCAUACCGGAGGAAACGCAAGACGGCAGCUUCUAUCGCGCCGUGCUCGCCGUACAUAAUGAAGAUUUCGAGACGGCGCAACGUUUAAUUGAUGGCACACGCGAUUUGCUCGACACCGAGCUCACAUCCAUGGCCGGUGAGUCGUACGAACGUGCCUAUGGCGCUAUGGUUUGCGUACAGAUGUUGGCCGAAUUGGAGGAGGUUAUACAAUAUAAACUGAUACCGGAACGCCGCGAACCAUUGAAGAGUAUGUGGUGGAAACGUUUACAGGGUGGGCAACGUUUGGUCGAGGAUUGGCGUCGUAUCAUACAGGUGCACUCACUGGUUGUGCGUCCUCAGGAAGAUGUACACACUUGGCUGAAAUACGCCAGUCUGUGUCGCAAAUCCGGUUCGCUGCAUUUAUCGCACAAAACACUCGUCAUGCUGCUGGGCACCGAUCCAUCCACACAACCCAAAGAGCAAUUGCCUUACAAUCAGCCGCAAGUCACAUAUGCCUAUACCAAGCAUAUGGCCGCUGCAGAGAACAUGCAAGGUGCCUAUGAGCAACUCAGUUGUUUUGUCAAUGCUUUCCAAGCAAAGUUGAACUGUAUCGGACCAGAGGAAGCAGCGAAACAAGAUCAUCGUUUAUUGGCGCGUUGCUAUCUACGGCUUGGCAAGUGGCAGAACAAAUUGCAGAGCUCGCUGGAACCGGAAAUCGUGCAAGGCGCUUUAGAUUGUUUCGAGAAGGCGACUGAAAAUGAUCCCACCUGCUACAAGGCGUGGCAUCUAUGGGCGUACAUGAACUUCAAGGUGGUGCAAGCGCAGAAACAACAACUCGAUAAGCUAGCGCACACCGCAACGAACGGCGAUAUAUUGCAAGACAAAGAGAAACUUAUCAUUGAGCACGCUGUGCAGGCGGUCGAUGGCUUCUUCCGUUCGAUCAGCCUGAUUAAAGGCAAUUCGUUGCAAGACACACUGCGUCUGCUAACACUCUGGUUCGAUUAUGGCCAGUAUUCGGAAGUUUAUGACGCUUUGCUAACCGGCAUGAAGACAAUAGAGAUUAACACGUGGCUGCAAGUGAUACCGCAGUUAAUAGCGCGCAUUGACACCCAUCGCAAGCUGGUCAAUCAACUGAUACAUCAUCUGCUCAUUGACAUCGGCAAAUAUCAUCCACAAGCUUUGGUCUAUCCACUCACAGUGGCAUCCAAGUCAGCGUCGGUGGCGCGCAAAAACGCCGCCUUCAAAAUACUGGAAUCAAUGCGUAAACACUAUCCGACGCUGGUGCAGCAGGCCAUGACGUGCAGCGAAGAGUUGAUACGCGUCGCCAUAUUAUGGCACGAACAAUGGCAUGAAGGACUUGAAGAGGCGUCGCGUCUUUACUUUGCCGAUCGCAAUGUGAAGGGAAUGUUUGAUAUAUUGGAGCCGUUGCAUGCGCUGCUUGCGCGUGGACCACAAACAUUGAAGGAGACAUCAUUCUCACAAGCCUACGGUCGUGAGCUAACCGAAGCCUACGAGUGGACUCAACGCUAUAAAACUUCAUCCGUGUUGAUGGACUUGGAUCAUGCUUGGGAUAUAUAUUAUCAUGUUUUCCAAAAGAUAUCACGUCAAUUGCCGCAAUUAACCUCACUUGAGCUGCCCUACGUCUCGCCCAAAUUGAUGACAUGCAAAAAUCUGGAGCUAGCCGUACCCGGUUCCUACAAUCCCAACCAGGAUUUGAUACGUAUCGAUCAUAUCAAAACCAAUCUGCAGGUGAUCACUUCGAAGCAGCGUCCACGCAAGCUGUGUUUGCGCGGUUCCAACGGUAAGGACUAUAUGUAUUUGCUAAAGGGACACGAAGACUUACGUCAAGAUGAGCGCGUUAUGCAACUCUUCUCGUUGGUCAACACACUGCUACUUGACGAUCCCGACACGUUCCGACGCAAUUUGGCUAUACAACGUUAUGCCGUUAUACCGUUGAGCACCAACUCGGGCCUUAUUGGUUGGGUGCCGCACUGUGACACAUUGCACACACUCAUACGUGACUACCGUGACAAGCGAAAGAUGCUACUCAAUCAGGAACAUCGUCUCAUGUUGAGCGUCUCACCCGAUUAUGACCAUUUAACAUUGAUGCAAAAGGUCGAAGUGUUCGAAUGCGCGCUGGCGCAAACGCAAGGCGAUGAUUUGGCCAAAUUGCUGUGGCUGAAGUCACCAUCGUCGGAAGUGUGGUUCGAGCGUCGCACCAAUUACACACGCUCACUCGCUGUCAUGUCCAUGGUGGGUUAUAUACUCGGCUUGGGCGAUCGACAUCCAUCCAAUCUGAUGUUGGAUCGCAUGAGUGGCAAAAUACUGCACAUCGAUUUCGGUGAUUGCUUUGAAGUGGCAAUGACACGUGAGAAAUUCCCCGAAAAGAUACCUUUCCGACUGACACGCAUGCUAAUCAAAGCCAUGGAGGUAACUGGCAUUGAGGGUACCUAUCGACGCACUUGUGAAAGUGUGAUGUUGGUGUUGCGACGCAACAAAGACUCACUAAUGGCAGUGCUGGAAGCAUUCGUCUAUGAUCCGCUGCUGAAUUGGCGUUUACUCGAUAUGGACAAAAAUCAUCGCUCCAAAUCGAAUAACGAUCCGGGCGGUUCCGGCAUGGCGUUCGGUGGCGGCAACGGCAGUCUCAGCAACUCCGUCGAAGAACCACUUCUGCACAGUCAACUAAUGAGUGCCAAUCACCUGAUGGGUGGCGCGCUAAUAGUCGCCGACAUAACGAACAGCAAGGCGAGCAAAGUUAUCAAGCGUGUGCGGAGCAAAUUGAAUGGCACAGAUUUCCAAACGCAGAAUAGUGUGGCGGUGCCACAACAAGUGGAUCUGCUCAUACAGCAGGCGACCAAUAAUGAAAAUCUAUGCCAAUGCUAUAUAGGCUGGUGUCCAUUCUGGUAAAGAAUAGCUAACGCUAAUACUAAUGUUAAAAUAUUUAAGAAAUUUGGUGAAAAAAAAAGUUUAUGGAACACUUACGAAAAUUUGUCACCAAUGCAGCAAAGUGUAGCAUACUUUUUGGCGCAACAUGCAAUUGUACUGUCGCACUACACGCCUACAUACACAGGUUUGAAAGUUGUACGCAGUUUUGUUGUGUUUGGAGUAGUGUAGCUGCUUAAACGUCGCUCAAAGCUAGUAAAUUGCCACCGAAGCGUGUAAACUGAUUAUUUUUCUGUAUUUGUAGAUUUGUUUUGAAGUCUUAACAUAGUUUUCACGCCGUAGAGCGCUGAAAUAAAACUGCUUAGAUUUAAAUAAAUAGUAAUUAAUAACAAAAACAAAUAAAAACUUGUAAUUCGUUAUUUCUAAUCAAAAUAUUACUAUACGUAAUUUUAUAUACAUACAUACAUAUAUACGAGUGUACUUUAUGCGCGCAAGAGUCUACGCGACAGACGCGCUCACUUAAGCAUACGUAUUUUAUAAGCAUAUUAUGAAAUAAUAAAAGUGAAAUAGAAAUUAAAAUUUAAUAAAUAAUAAAAAACGUAUAUGCGUACAUACAUAUGUAUAUGAA